CCUACGGGGGGCAGCAGUGGGGAAUAUUGGGCAAUGGGCGAAAGCCUGACCCAGCCACGCCGCGUGAGUGAUGAAGGCCUUCGGGUCGUAAAGCUCUGUGGGGAGGGACGCGGUACCUCCUUAGCAAGCACCGGCUAACCCUGUGCCAGCAGCCGCGUUAAUACAGGGGGUGCAAACGUUGCUCGGAAUCAUUGGGCGUAAAGCGCACGUAGGCGGUCUGUUAUGUCGGAUGUGAAAGCCCUUGGCUCAACUGAGGAAGUGCAUCCGAAACUGGCAGGCUAGAGUACUAAAGAGGGUCGCGGAAUUCCCGGUGUAGAGGUGAAAUUCGUAGAUAUCGGGAGGAACACCGGUGGCGAAGGCGGCGACCUGGGUAGAAUGACGCUGAGGUGCGAAAGCGUGGGGAGCAAACAGGAUUAGAUACCCUUGUAGUC
rnacentral:rRNA from 1 species